GACGAACGCUGGCGGCGUGCCUAACACAUGCAAGUGGAGCGACGAACCAGGCUUCGGCCUGGGGCAAAGCCGCGAACGGGUGAGUAACACGUGGGUAACCUGCCCUGAUGAUUGGGACAACCCGAGGAAACUCGGGCUAAUACCGAAUGUGCCCUCCGGCCUCAAGGCCGCUGGGGAAAGGAAGCUUCGGCCUCCGCAUCGGGAUGGGCCCGCGGCCCAUUAGCUUGUUGGUGAGGUAACGGUCACCAAGGCGACGAUGGGUAGCUGGUCUGAGAGGACGAUCAGCCACACUGGGACUGAGACACGGCCCAGACUCCUACGGGAGGCAGCAGUGGGGAAUCUUGCGCAAUGCGCGAAAGCGUGACGCAGCAACGCCGC
rnacentral:rRNA from 1 species